UACGUAGGGUCCGAGCGUUGUCCGGAAUUAUUGGGCGUAAAGGGCUCGUAGGCGGUCUGUUGCGUCGGGUGUGAAAACUUACAGCUUAACUGUGAGCGUGCUUCCGAUACGGGCAGACUAGAGGUAUGCAGGGGAGAACGGAAUUCCUGGUGUAGCGGUGAAAUGCGCAGAUAUCAGGAGGAACACCGGUGGCGAAGGCGGCCUUCUGGACAGUGACUGACGCUGAGACGCGAAAGCGUGGGGAGCAAACAGG
rnacentral:rRNA from 1 species